GGAGGUAGAGGCCGUGCUUAGCCGGUCGAACUCCCCAGGUCAACAAACAUCUGGCUGGACCUCCGACCUCCUGAGCUCGGAUCCCAAAAAACCAACCAGACGGGUGGCCGCGCGCAUGCUUCACUAUAUGGGAGGAGGGGCGGCGGCGAAGGUGCGGAUUGAGAUCACAGCGGCGGUCACCAUCGCGAGAAGGGGAAGGUCGCCUUUAGAGAAACCUGCCCCGCCGCAUAUGCCUCUCAGCGGCGUCUACCGCCUGGCAAACUGGGCAUAGCGCUAGCACUCGCUCCUGUUCACGUUCGGCUUCUUCACGGCGGUCCUCACGUUCUUCUCAACGGGGCAACAGUUCUGGCCUUUCGAAACGUAACUUCAAUCAGGUCGCCGGUUUGAACGUAAGUAAAGACUUCUCGACACAUAACCAACACCAUAAACACAAUUCUUUACGGGUAAACUACGGUAACUUUAGUAGUUAGAAGGUUUUCUAAACCUCUUUCUAUGAUGGGUAGCGAUACCUGGCUUAUGGAAGUUUAACGUGUCCAACGGACAAGGUUCUGGACCAGUUCAAAACCCAGAACAACCUUGGUUACCUUAACCCUUCAGUUGUCGUGAAUUUCAGAAUCGACCGUUCGACUUCGGGUUAGACCCUGCUAAGUUUUUAGGUGGACUGACCGUUCUCUAGGAAUGUAUAAAGGCACCCAGACUUGAAGUCUUGAUAAAAUGCGCGUAUAACCUCCUAUUGGACUUCCGUUAGUAGUUCGGCGUCAUACAACUGGUAUAAGGUUUUCGACAAGUUCCUUUACAUCCCGUUCAUGAACUCGUCUUUCUACUCGCCCUAUACUUUUUACUCGACACGCAACUAGAACUUAACUUGGUUCAAUAACUGUCUUUACAUCCUCUAGACAGACCACCGCUCGAAGUCUCUAAACGUUAUCGUCAACAACGACAUGUUUCACGCCUUUAAAUGUACAAACUACUCGGUAGUUCAAUAAACCUGCAAUUUGUCUCCGAAUUCCGACGGGCUCAGUAAUCCAGAAACGAAUCUAGUUUGUCGAUACAGUAGCAACAGCUUGUACUGAACUCACAGAAUCUAAUGAACAGGCUGAAAUAAACGACGAAUAUACCCUUCGGUCCACGAAUGCCACAUCAAUGCAAUGGUAAAAGCCAGGCUCUUCCAUAGUUAUAAAAGGACCGACCUAAACAAGGUUGUCUUUUGGAAGCCAAAGCUCUACUUAGAGAAUGUAAAUUCUAACGCCUCUGGGUCCUUUUGCGUCUCCUUCAACGAUGCAUGGUCGCCAUGUUCAUGGGAUGGUACUCGUUUUGUGUCCCUUUAAAGUUCGAGAGACAGCAACUCCCACUUAAGUGACUAAGAGUCUAACAACACUACGAACCACUCUUGCCGUGUCCCUUUUGAUGUAAGUAGUCUUACGACCGGCCCAACAACUUCGGUCUAUGGUACCUUCCUUGACUCCAACUUUAAGGACUUAAGUUACACAGGAUGUUCGGAGUUUUCUAGUCGGGUUUUAAGGUCGUAGGUCACUCCGUGAACGAAGUAAGCUUUUAUGCGCUAAGUAUAUGAGUAGGAGUCAAACAUAGACUACAAUACUUUGGUGAUGUUUAACUCGUUGAGUACCUGGUCCUUCAAUAAUUAAAUAGUCCACCUCUCGAGGUCUCUCAUCGUAAUACAAACACGGAACCUUUCGGACGUCUAUAAAUAAAUUAACUACUCGGUUCACGUAUAGAACUAAGUCUCGUCGCAUAACAACGGAGCUUCCAAUAGUUUUCUAAGUAGGAAGUACGUUUCUUUUGACGUAAAUAACACCUCGUACUAAAGUAGUACCGUUGGAUGAAUCGCCUGUUCCAAUAACAAAUACUCCCUGAACGAAGAUAACUGACAUGACGGUUACGUGGUGUCAGAAACCAUAGACCCUACUUAUUUAAGAAUAGCGUAGAACUGUAAUGUAAAUCUUCUCUGGGCUGGUUGAUAUCCGGUGCUUAGUUGUUUGAGCUUAGUUGCUUCCUGUCUCUUGUUUUCUUACGUCCCAGGAUGAUGAUGGAUCUACUGAUUACUCUCCCCGGUCGCGUCUAAGAACAACCUGCAGUUAUUACAAGGCUUAGGAAAGACCUAGUACGCGUUCCGAUUGCUCUUCAACGGUACUGCACGCAGGUACUCUGUACGCUUAACCGGUGUCCUCACUUCGCGUAGCUCACACCACGAACCCAAAGUUUCUUCGCGUACACAACUUUGACAUGAAAAACAACCAAACUCGACACCCCUCUUGCUAAUAGUUAAAAGAACAUAAACGUAACGACAUAGUACCGAAAUGGUAGAGUAUAACAAGAUAGCACUUUAGAAUAUUACGUAUAAGAGGACCUCGAAUAAUAUCAGGAGAGUGAUCAAACAGGAGUAUAAUAUAAAAUAUAGGAGAGUGAUCAACCAAGGCAAGGAAAACUACUUACUGCUUCACACCAACCG
rnacentral:rRNA from 1 species